rnacentral:rRNA from 1 species
AACGAACGCUGGCGGCAUGCCUAACACAUGCAAGUCGAACGAGAUCUUCGGGUCUAGUGGCGCACGGGUGCGUAACGCGUGGGAAUCUGCCCUUUGGUUCGGAAUAACAGUUGGAAACGACUGCUAAUACCGGAUGAUGACGAAAGUCCAAAGAUUUAUCGCCAGAGGAUGAGCCUGCGUAGGAUUAGCUAGUUGGUGUGGUAAAGGCGCACCAAGGCGACGAUCCUUAGCUGGUCUGAGAGGAUGAUCAGCCACACUGGGACUGAGACACGGCCCAGACUCCUACGGGAGGCAGCAGUGGGGAAUAUUGGACAAUGGGCGAAAGCCUGAUCCAGCAAUGCCGCGUGAGUGAUGAAGGCCUUAGGGUUGUAAAGCUCUUUUACCCGGGAUGAUAAUGACAGUACCGGGAGAAUAAGCUCCGGCUAACUCCGUGCCAGCCGCAGUAACAC